rnacentral:lncRNA from 1 species
AAGACGCAUACAAGUUUUCUAAGUCCAUCCCAUUACAAGCAAACAAGAAAUAGAGAAGAAAGGGAAAGUAAUAGCAAAGCCACAAAAAAGGGAGUCCGAAGAGCACGGAGGAUUUAGUAAGGAUUUCCAUUUUCACUGUAACAACCUAACUCUCGCUUUUAGUAUAGUAAGGAUUUCUGUUAGCUUAUCGGUUUUGAGUUUAUCAAUUUGCUGAUCAUAAUUGAAGGUCGCAUUGAUGUGAUUUGUUUGUUGUGCUGAUGUCUUUUGUUUUAUGAUUAAGGGCUGUAUUUUUAGACAGGUCAUUCAAACUUAUUUGACGUGCACACCAUAUAUUCGCUAUAUGUCCUCAUUUAACAUCUACAAUCAUUGUGUGUUAGUUUUUCUCUGUUUCAGAAAAUUGUUUGAUGUUUUGGAUUGGUUUAAUGUAAUUUCAUCAAUGCAUGUUUCGAUUGUGAUAUGACAUUUGCUUGUUCUUUUGUUUUUUGUAAUUUGUUAUGAUAUUAUGGUUCCCUUCCUGUGUUUACAUGGUAC